rnacentral:rRNA from 1 species
AUUGAACGCUGGCGGCAGGCCUAACACAUGCAAGUCGAGCGAGCGGCGGACGGGUGAGUAAUGUAUGGGGACUGCCCGAUAGAGGGGGAUAACUACUGGAAACGGUGGCUACUACCGCAUACGAUCGGAUAACCCAUAUGGGAUUAGCUAGUCGGUGGGGUAAAGGCCCACCAAGGCGACGAUGCCUAGCUGGUCUGAGAGGAUGAUCGGCCACACUGGGACUGAGACACGGCCCAGACUCCUACGGAGGCAGCAGUGGGGAAUAUUGGACAAUGGGCGCAAGCCUGAUGCAGCCAUGCCGCGUGUAUGAAGAAGGCCUUAGGGUUGUAAAGGACUUUUGGCGGAGAAGCGGUACCCGCAGAAGAAGCACCGGCUAACUCCGUGCCAGCCGCCGCGGUAAUUC